rnacentral:rRNA from 1 species
GACGAACGCUGGCGGCGUGCUUAACACAUGCAAGUCGAACGGUAAGGCUCCAGCUUGCUGGGGUACACGAGUGGCGAACGGGUGAGUAACACGUGGGUGACCUGCCCUGCACUUCGGGAUAAGCCUGGGAAACUGGGUCUAAUACCGGAUAGGACCGCACCGUGAGGGUGUGGUGGAAAGUUUUUUCGGUGUGGGAUGGGCCCGCGGCCUAUCAGCUUGUUGGUGGGGUAAUGGCCUACCAAGGCGGCGACGGGUAGCCGGCCUGAGAGGGUGGACGGCCACAUUGGGACUGAGACACGGCCCAGACUCCUACGGGAGGCAGCAGUGGGGAAUAUUGCACAAUGGGCGGAAGCCUGAUGCAGCGACGCCGCGUGGGGGAUGACGGCCUCCGGGUUGUAAACUCCUUUCACCAUCGACGAAGGGUUUCUGACGGUAGAUGGAGAAGAAGCACCGGCUAACUACGUG